UUUUCACCGGCAGGUGUGCUUUUUGAUGACUGAUACUAAUGACUUUGUUGAGUUGUGUUUGGAUUUUUGGGUUCUAAUGACUUGGGGGAUGUAGAGUUUGUUGUGUGUCGAGAUGAGCAUGGCAAGCUUCAAGCUUUCCACAAUGUCUGUCUUCAUCAUGCCACACUUGUUGCCUAUGGAAGUGGCCGAAAGUCGUGCUUUGAGUGCCCUACCAUGCAUGGACAUAUGGGUUAGACGGUGCCCUUCUCAAGGCACCUAGGAUAACCAGGAAUACAGAACUUCAAUAAACAUGUAUGCUCUAACAUUUUUUUUUUACUGCAAUCGCAUUCUUCUAUUGAACAGUUACUGUCUAAAUGGGGGGAUAAUCUAGUUGAUUUGUCUGACCAUGGAGGGCAGGAGUUUGGGCUUACACCAAUAAAAGUAGCUACUUUUUUUUUUUUGGAAGAGGGGAUCAAUUAAGCUGCCCCAAGCUAGCCCAAUGGGCAUUAAAGAAAGUAGCUACUUGGGGACCGUUUGUUCUUGCAAAUAGCGAGCGAAUGGCUUGGGAGCUGUUCAGAUGUACUGAUUAAAUAUGGGGUUGAUUCAUCAUUAAGUUUUGUUUGUAGACGUGAAUAUACGAUUUAAUGUAACUGGAAGGUAUAGUUCUACAAUUGGAAAUUACCUCCCUAUUUGAUAUCUCUUCCAAACUCAAGUUAGAAGUUUCUUUGUUAUAAUCUUCUUUCAGGUCUAUUGUGACAACUACUUGGAUGGAGGAUAUCAUGUGCCUUACGCACAUAAAGACCUAGCAUCUGGUCUCAAGCUCGAUAGUUACUCUACCAAAGUAUAUGAAAAGGUCAGCAUUCAAGAGUGUGAAGCUGGUUCAAAAGAGGGGGGAAAUGAUGAUCGGCUGGGAUCAAAAGCACCAUUUUCACUCUGCUUCUUGACAGCAUGAAAAAAUGAUCUGCUGAGUUUGCUGUUUUUCUUUCCUUUUCUUUAAUUUUCCUCCGUUACGAUGGAAGAAUAUAUAGAAACAAGGGGCUGUGACCACUUACCCAAUUUUGGGCAAAAAAUUGCCCACUUACUCCACCAAGAGUUUUUUA